CGGAGAGAGAGAGGCCCCGGGGGGCCGGCGGAGAGCCGGAGCGGUGCCUGGAUCCAGCCCGGGCGGGCGGCGGCCGCUCACCAUGGCAGACGAUGAGAAGGCCGGCGGGAGUUCCGCGGACGGCGGCGAGAGCGCGCACUGCAACGUGCUGAGCUGGGAGCAAGUGCAGCGUCUGGACCGCAUCCUCAGCGAAACCAUCCCCAUCCACGGCCGCGGAAACUUCCCCACGCUGGCCAUGCAGCCUCGACAGAUCGUCAAGGUGGUGCGGAGCCGGCUGGAAGAGAAGGGCAUCGGCCUGCGGGACGUGCGGCUGAACGGCUCGGCCGCCAGCCACGUCCUCCACCAGGACAGCGGCCUGGGCUACAAGGACUUGGACCUCAUCUUCUGCGCCGACCUCAAAGGAGAAGCCGAGUUUCAGACUGUGAAGGACGUGGUCUUGGACUGCCUCUUGGAUUUCUUACCCGAGGGGGUGAAUAAGGAGAAGAUCACGCCUCUCACACUCAAGGUAAACCUGCCCGGACGCCCGGAGCGGGCAGGUGUGAGCGCCUGCCUGCGGGGAGCGGGCACCUUCCCCCUGGGGAUGGAGCGGUGCGCUCAGGGACGCAGCUCCCCCAACACCCCCGCCACCCACGGGAACCCCGAGCGAUUUAAAACCGAGGAGGAGUUUACAGUGAAGCUCCCUGACAGGGGCUCUUCAGGAUUAAUUAGCUUUUUCUCCCUCCCGGCCGGUUUGCUGGGAGCGUUGUUUUACCUGGGGCGUGUGCCAGAGGCUGCACAUCUCUCUCCCUGCCCGGCGGCAGCUGGGCUUGCCGGCCCCGGGUCCCGGCUGCACGGGGAGCGUAGAUGGAUUUAACAUCUGCGAGAGGGAAACCCUGUCUGCAAGGCAUGAUUCCAGGUGUGCUGAGUGCCCCGGUGCGGAGGCAUAUUCCCUCCUCUAGAAGACACUUUGCUUGAGUUGAUUAGGUUGAAUCCAAAUACUUUCAGAUUUUCAGAGGGAUAUUAUUUAUUUAUUUAUUUAUUUAAUACGGGACUGAUUUAUGGAACGUGCACUCGUAGGAUUGAGGGGAAUGAACAUUUGCUAACUUGUUUUUUGGGAAGCAGAGAAGGAACUGAAAACCAGUAAAUAGGAUUUCUUAUCAGAUUGUAGUAGUGACCUUCUGCGUAUGGGUGCAGGCAUAUUUGGCAGGUGUGUCAUGAACUUAGUCUGUAGAUGUAUUUAGAAGUGACUGAACAAAGUAAUGUUGCUGUAUGCUUCCCUUGCAUGACACAGUCCCAGCAGAUCACCCUUCCCUGUCAUACCCUUGCAGUGACAGCAUUUUGAGCUCUCACGUUAAGCUCUCAUUCUCUGGUUUGUAUCUGCAGGCUCCAUGAAAUCUUUUAUGAAAUGCAGGUA